GCUUACAUAUCUAUAUAUCUAUUGUCAGGCCUCUGAGCCCAAGCCAAGCCAUGGCAUCCCCUGUGACUUGCAGGUAUAUGCUCAGAUGGCCUGAAGUAACUGAAGAAUCACAAAAGAAGUGAAUAUGCCCUGCCCCACCUUAACUGAUGACAUUCCACCACAAAAGAAGUGUAAAUGGCCAGUCCUUGCCUUAACUGAUGACAUUACCUUGUGAAAGUCCUUUUCCUGGCUCAUCCUGGCUCAAAAAGCACCCCCACUGAGCACCUUGCGACCCCCACUCCUGCCUGCGAGAGAACAAACCCCCUUUGACUGUAAUUUUCCUUUACCUACCCAAAUCCUAUAAAACGGCCCCACCCUUAUCUCCUUUCUCUGACUCUCUUUUCAGACUCAGCCCGCCUGCACCCAGGUGAAAUAAACAGCCAUGUUGCUCACACAAAGUCUGUUUGGUGGUCUCUUCACACAGACGCGCAUGAAAUUUGGUGCCGUGACUUGGAUCGGGGGACCUCCCUUGGGAGAUCAAUCCCCUGUCCUCCUGUUCUUUGCUCCAUGAGAAAGAUCCACCUAUGACCUCAGGUCCUCAGACCGACCAGUCCAAUGAACAUCUCACCAAUUUUAAAUCAGAUCCAUCUGACCUCUCCCCUCCUCCCCAGGCUGCUCCUCGCCAGGCCAAGCUAGGUCCCAAUUCUUCCUCAGCCUCUGCUACUCCACCCUAUAAUCUUUUUAUCACCUGCCCUCUUCACACCUGAUCUGGCUUACAGUUUCAUUCUGUGACUAGCCCUCCCACACCUGCCCAGCAAUUUACUCUUAAAAAGGUGGCUGGAGCCAAAGGCAUAGUCAAGGUUAAUGCUCCUUUUUCUUUAUCCCAAAUCAGAAGCGUUUAGGCUCUUUUUCAUCAAAUAUAAAAAUCCAGCCCAGUUCAUGGCUCGUUUGGCAGCAACCCUGAGAUGCUUUACAGCCCUAGAUCCUAAAAGGUCAAAAGGCCAUCUUAUUCUCAAUAUUCAUUUUAUUACCCAAUCUGCUCCCGACAUUAAAUAAAACUCCAAAAAUUUGAAUUUAGCCCUCAAACCCCACAACAGGACUUAAUUAACCUCACCUUCAAGGUGUACAAUAACAGAAAAAAGUUGCAAUUCCUUGCCUCCACUGUGAGACAAACCCCAGCCACAUCUCCAGCACACAAGAACUUCCAAAUGCCUGAACCGCAGCAGCCAGGUGUUCCUCCAGAACCUCCUCCCCCAGGAGCUUGCUACACUUGCCAGAAAUCUGGCCACUGGGCCAAGGAACGCCCGCAGCCCGGGAUUCCUCCUAAACCGCAUCCCAUCUUUGUGGGACCCCACUGAAAAUCGGACUGUUCAACUCACCUGGCAGCCACUCCCAGAGCCCCUGGAACUCUGGCCCAAGGCUCUCUGACUGACUCCCUCCCAGAUCUUCUUGGCUUAGCAGCUGAAGACUGACACUGCCAGAUCACCUUGGAAGCCCCCUAGACCAUCAUGGAUGCCGAGCUUCAGGUAACUCUCACAGUGGAAGAUGUCUCCCUGGAAUUCUAAACCUCAUAAGGAAAGAAGCUGUGCUGGGAAAGACAGGAAGGAAGCACAGAGAAAAGCAAAUGAACACAAACUGUUGGAGAAGAAAAGCCACUAUUGAAGAGGCUGCCAGGAAAUAUGAGAGACUUUCCCUACCGCGAUGCUAUGAUUUUUGUCCUAGUUUGAACUGUACCCAGAAAUAAAAUUGUCCUCUUCAUUUUUA